CAGGCUUAACACAUGCAAGUCGAGGGGCAGCAUCAUCAAAGCUUGCUUUGAUGGAUGGCGACCGGCGCACGGGUGAGUAACACGUAUCCAACCUGCCGACAACACUGGGAUAGCCUUUCGAAAGAAAGAUUAAUACCGGAUGGUAUAGUUUUCCCGCAUGGGAUAAUUAUUAAAGAAUUUCGGUUGUCGAUGGGGAUGCGUUCCAUUAGGCAGUUGGCGGGGUAACGGCCCACCAAACCUACGAUGGAUAGGGGUUCUGAGAGGAAGGUCCCCCACAUUGGAACUGAGACACGGUCCAAACUCCUACGGGAGGCAGCAGUGAGGAAUAUUGGUCAAUGGACGAGAGUCUGAACCAGCCAAGUAGCGUGAAGGAUGACUGCCCUAUGGGUUGUAAACUUCUUUUAUACGGGAAUAAAGUUAGCCACGUGUGGUUUUUUUGUAUGUACCGUAUGAAUAAGGAUCGGCUAACUCCGUGCCAGCAGCCGCGGUAAUACGGAGGAUCCGAGCGUUAUCCGGAUUUAUUGGGUUUAAAGGGAGCGUAGGCGGGUUGUUAAGUCAGUUGUGAAAGUUUGCGGCUCAACCGUAAAAUUGCAGUUGAUACUGGCGACCUUGAGUGCAACAGAGGUAGGCGGAAUUCGUGGUGUAGCGGUGAAAUGCUUAGAUAUCACGAAGAACUCCGAUUGCGAAGGCAGCUUACUGGAUUGUAACUGACGCUGAUGCUCGAAAGUGUGGGUAUCAAACAGGAUUAGAUACCCUGGUAGUCCACACAGUAAACGAUGAAUACUCGCUGUUGGCGAUAUACAGUCAGCGGCCAAGCGAAAGCAUUAAGUAUUCCACCUGGGGAGUACGCCGGCAACGGUGAAACUCAAAGGAAUUGACGGGGGCCCGCACAAGCGGAGGAACAUGUGGUUUAAUUCGAUGAUACGCGAGGAACCUUACCCGGGCUUAAAUUGCAACUGACGGAACCGGAAACGGUUCUUUCUUCGGACAGUUGUGAAGGUGCUGCAUGGUUGUCGUCAGCUCGUGCCGUGAGGUGUCGGCUUAAGUGCCAUAACGAGCGCAACCCUUACGGGUAGUUACCAUCAGGUUAUGCUGGGGACUCUACCCGGACUGCCGUCGUAAGAUGUGAGGAAGGUGGGGAUGACGUCAAAUCAGCACGGCCCUUACGUCCGGGGCUACACACGUGUUACAAUGGGGGGUACAGAAGGCAGCUACACGGCGACGUGGUGCUAAUCCCAAAAGCCUCUCUCAGUUCGGAUUGGAGUCUGCAACCCGACUCCAUGAAGCUGGAUUCGCUAGUAAUCGCGCAUCAGCCACGGCGCGGUGAAUACGUUCCCGGGCCUUGUACACACCGCCCGUCAAGCCAUGAAAGCCGGGGGUACCUGAAGUACGUAACCGCGAGGAGCGUCCUAGGGUAAAACUGGUGAUUGGGG
rnacentral:rRNA from 1 species